rnacentral:rRNA from 1 species
GGGGAGAUCGAGCUUCCUGCAGUCGAACGGCAGCACGGAGCUUGCUCUGGUGGCGAGUGGCGAACGGGUGAGUAAUAUAUCGGAACGUACCCUGGAGUGGGGGAUAACGUAGCGAAAGUUACGCUAAUACCGCAUACGAUCUAAGGAUGAAAGUGGGGGAUUCCCAGAACCCUCGUGCUCGUGGAGCGCCCUAUCUCAGAUUAUCUAUGUGGUGGGGUAAACCCCCACCGGGGUCUCUAUCAAUCUGUGGUCAGAGAAGAACACCCCCCACUGUGGCUCUGACACACGGCCCACACUCCUACGGGAGGCCACUGUGGAAAUUUUUGCACUGUGGGCGCGCCCCAGAUCCCACUGUGCCGCGAGAGUGAAAAGCGUCCUCGUUGUGUAAAUCUCUUUUGUCGGGAAAAACACGGUGAGAUCUAAUCUCUCCUGCUAGUGACGGCCCCUGAAAAAUACACCCCGUAUAUCUACGUGCCCACCCCCGCGAAUACACAUAGGGCGCACGCGUUUCUCAAAUUUACUGCGCAUAAAGCGCGCGCACGCGGUUGUGUAACUCAGAUGAGAUCUCCCCGGUCUCCCCCUGAAAAGUGCUUUGGACACUGCAGCGCUAAUCUCUGGCAGAGGGGUAUAGAACUCCACGUGUCACAGUGAUGUGCAUAUAUAUGUAGAAGCACCCCUAUGGAAAGCGCCCCCCUCUGUCACGAUAGUGACUCUCGUGCACGAACGCGUGGAGCGCACACGAGAAUAUACCCUCUGAUACUCCACGCCCUACAAUAUCUCUACUAUGUCUCGGCUCAUAUGUCACGUGAACACACCUCUCACGCGAGAAAUACAGCCUCUGGAGAAUACGGUCGCAAGAUUAAAACUCAAAGGAAUUGACGGGGACCCGCACAAGCGGUGGAUGAUGUGGAUUAAUUCGAUGCAACGCGAAAAACCUUACCUACCCUUGACAUGGCUGGAAUCCCCGAGAGAUUGGGGAGUGCUCGAAAGAGAACCAGUACACAGGUGCUGCAUGGCUGUCGUCAGCUCGUGUCGUGAGAUGUUGGGUUAAGUCCCGCAACGAGCGCAACCCUUGUCAUUAGUUGCUACGAAAGGGCACUCUAAUGAGACUGCCGGUGACAAACCGGAGGAAGGUGGGGAUGACGUCAAGUCCUCAUGGCCCUUAUGGGUAGGGCUUCACACGUCAUACAAUGGUACAUACAGAGCGCCGCCAACCCGCGAGGGGGAGCUAAUCGCAGAAAGUGUAUCGUAGUCCGGAUUGUAGUCUGCAACUCGACUGCAUGAAGUUGGAAUCGCUAGUAAUCGCGGAUCAGCAUGUCGCGGUGAAUACGUUCCCGGGUCUUGUACACACCGCCCGUCACACCAUGGGAGCGGGUUUUACCAGAAGUAGGUAGCUUAACCGCAAGGAGGGCGCUUACCACGGUAGGAUUCGUGACUGGGGGAAGUCGANCAGUAGCUCAUCAAA